rnacentral:rRNA from 1 species
ACGGAGGAUCCGAGCGUUAUCCGGAUUUAUUGGGUUUAAAGGGAGCGUAGGUGGACAGUUAAGUCAGUUGUGAAAGUUUGCGGCUCAACCGUAAAAUUGCAGUUGAUACUGGCUGUCUUGAGUACAGUAGAGGUGGGCGGAAUUUGUGGUGUAGCGGUGAAAUGCUUAGAUAUCACGAAGAACUCCGAUUGCGAAGGCAGCUCACUGGACUGCAACUGACACUGAUGCUCGAAAGUGUGGGUAUCAAACAG